UACAGAGGUCUCAAGCGUUGUUCGGAUUCAUUGGGCGUAAAGGGCGCGUAGGCGGCUCGUGAAGUCGGGUGUGAAAGCCCGGGGCUCAACUCCAGAACUGCCUUUGAUACUGGAGAGCUCGAGUCCGGAAGAGGUGAGUGGAACUCCGAGUGUAGAGGUGAAAUUCGUAGAUAUUCGGAAGAACACCAGUGGCGAAGGCGGCUCACUGGUCCGGUACUGACGCUGAUGUGCGAAAGCGUGGGGAGCAAACAGG
rnacentral:rRNA from 1 species